UACGAAGGGUGCAAGCGUUAAUCGGAAUUACUGGGCGUAAAGGGUGCGUAGGCGGUUCGUUAAGUCUGUCGUGAAAUCCCCGGGCUCAACCUGGGAAUGGCGAUGGAUACUGGCGAGCUAGAGUGUGUCAGAGGAUGGUGGAAUUCCCGGUGUAGCGGUGAAAUGCGUAGAGAUCGGGAGGAACAUCAGCGGCGAAGGCGGCCAUCUGGGACAACACUGACGCUGAAGCACGAAAGCGUGGGGAGCAAACAGG
rnacentral:rRNA from 1 species